GAUGAACGCUGGCGGCGUGCAUAACACAUUCAAGUCGAACGGAGUUAUUUGAAUUAAUCCUUCGGGAAGCGUUUAGAUAACUUAGUGGCGGACGGGUGAGUAACGCGUGAGCAACCUGCCUCUGUGUGUGGAAUAACGUUUGGAAACGAACGCUAAUACCGCAUAAAGCAUAUUGAUCGCAUGGUCGAGAUGCCAAAGAUUUAUUGCAUAGAGAUGGGCUCGCGUCUGAUUAGGUAGUUGGUGAGGUAACGGCCCACCAAGCCGACGAUCAGUAGCCGGACUGAGAGGUUGAACGGCCACAUUGGAACUGAGACACGGCCCAGACUCCUACGGGGAGGCAGCAGGUGGGGAAUAUUGCACAAUGGGGGAAACCCUGAUGCAGCGACGCCGCGUGAAGGACGAAGGUCUUCGGAUCGUAAACUUUUGUCUUCAGGGACGAUAAUGACGGUACCUGAGGAGGAAGCCACGGCUAACUACGUG
rnacentral:rRNA from 1 species